AUCCACCGAAAAUCUCAUUUCCGGGAACUCUCCAAAGGAGGAAAAUUGCCAAAUAUCCGAGAAAUCAGAAAGUCUCAUCAGAAGAAAAUAAAUAAUCAACAAAUUAUUUCAUCGCAUGCUUUUCAAUUAAAACAAAGGUCCACUCACAACUCUAGGCAUAAGCCCGACGAAAUCCAAAUCGCCACUCCAAUGAGGUUUCCUCAAACCCUGUCACAAAUAUAUAAUUAAAUUCCAAACUAAAAUCCAAUAUUUAAACAAAAUAGGCAAAAUUAAAUAUGAGCCGCAACCACGUACGCUCAUCCUUGCCCAACUUCGCCUUUCCUAAAACGAAACGAUCCAACUUUAAUACCAUAAAUGGCAGCCGUAAUUACAACCUCCCCAGAACAACGACUUAAAUCCUACGGCCGGAUUCUACAUUAAUUAACCGCCAAAAAUACCAAACUUCGGAAAAUCACAAACCUAUUCAAAACUCAUCCGAAAAUUUCAUAAUUUACAUCAAUACACUCCUCUUAAUAUUCCACAUUUAAAAACAUUAAAAUCUCCCAACAGGCGGCGCCGGCAGCGGCGGCCGGAGGCCGAUUCCGGCGACCUCCAAUGCCCACCAAAUUUUAACAGCAUCUUCCUCUCAACUCCCUCUACAACAUUCCUAACUAGCACAAACACCAAUUCCAAGCCUAACUAGGUCAAUCGAGCAAAACAACGCAAAAAGCCCUAAAGCUUCCACCUCAAAUUUCUCCUUACCUAAAGCGAACCGGAGUGAGUCCUUUUAGGGCAAGGUAGCUGGGUUGGAGACCUACAAAACCGUACCAAUCUUGCCCGGAUUGGUGGCCGGAGGAGGGAGUUCCGGCGAGUGAAGCAACACGGCAGUCGCACCUUUCGGGGGAGAGCGCUCCUUCACGGCGGCGCUAGGGCGGCUAUCACCGGCCUAGAAUGGAAGCUGGGUCGGAGGGCAACUGAACGGGACCGGUGCGGCAGUCCCAGGCGGCCGGACGACGGCGGACGAGCGGCCGGAAUGUUGGGCAGCGGGUGGACUCAGGGGAGAGGAAAACCGGGAAGAAAAAGAGAGAAGAGAAGAGUGGGUUUUGGGCCUCCACCCAAACCGGUCCAAGACUAUAAUAUA
rnacentral:lncRNA from 1 species